rnacentral:sRNA from 1 species
GGCGGUGGGCACCUGUAAUCCCAGCUACUUGGGAGGCUGAGGCAGAGAAUUGCUUGAACCUGGGAGAUGGAGGUUGCAGUGAGCUGAGAUCGUGCCACUGCACUCCAGCCUGGGUGAUAGAGCAAGACUGUGUCUCAAACAAACAAACAAAGAAUUGUAUGAUAUGAUGGAUAUAAAGCACCCAGCUCAGACUUGUUUUGGCCACACUGACAGAGGAAGGUGAAGCUUUGAGGCAUAAGAGAAGAGCCCC